rnacentral:misc_RNA from 1 species
GAUGAAGAACGCAGCGAAAUGCGAUAAGUAGUGUGAAUUGCAGAAUUCAGUGAAUCAUCGAAUCUUUGAACGCACAUUGCGCCCCUCGGUAUUCCGUGGGGCAUGCCUGUUCGAGCGUCAUUUACCCCUCAAGCACUGCUUGGUGUUGGGCGUCUGUCCCGCUUCGCGCGCGGACUCGCCCCAAAGGUAUUGGCAGCGGUCGUGCCAGCUUCUCGCGCAGCACAUUGCGCUUCUCGAGGCGGUCGAUCGGCGUCCACGAAGCUCACCUCCACCGUUUGACCUCGGAUCAGGUAGGGAUACCCGCUGAACUUAAGCAUAUCAAAAGCGGAGGA